rnacentral:rRNA from 1 species
UACGGAGGGGGCUAGCGUUGUUCGGAAUUACUGGGCGUAAAGCGCACGUAGGCGGCUUUGCAAGUUAGAGGUGAAAGCCCGGGGCUCAACCCCGGAACUGCCUGUAAGACUGCAUCGCUUGAAUCCAGGAGAGGUAAGUGGAAUUCCGAGUGUAGAGGUGAAAUUCGUAGAUAUUCGGAAGAGCACCAGUGGCGAAGGCGGCUCACUGGCCUGGUAUUGACGCUGAGGUGCGAAAGCGUGGGGAGCAAACAGG